rnacentral:rRNA from 1 species
GUCCACGCUGUAAACGAUGGGCACUAGGUGUCUGGGGUAUUGACCCCCUGGGUGCCGCAGCUAACGCAUUAAGUGCCCCGCCUGGGAAGUACGGCCGCAAGGUUAAAACUCAAAGGAAUUGACGGGGGCCCGCACAAGCGGUGGAGCAUGUGGUUCAAUUCGACGCAACGCGAAGAACCUUACCUGGGCUAGACAACGGCGGACCGUCCUAGAGAUAGGAUUUUCCCUUCGGGGACCACCGGUUCAGGUGCUGCAUGGCUGUCGU